UGUGGAUUUCAAGUAAUCAAGCAAUCAAAGGUUCCAACGAGGCCCUUAGCCCCAUUUAAACCAUUCGUUGAAGUUAGAGCCCACCGAAACAUCAAUAAAGAUUGAGGCAGUUGGAACCUAGGUUGAGGUGUCCACGUAGUUUCAUCUUCUUUGUAGGUAGGUUGGCAUUCAAUAGCCGUCCCUUCACCUUGGUCACUCCGCUGGAAGCUCAGAGUCAUUUUUGUUUGUAAAUACGUACAUGUGAUGUAAAGUACUAAAAUGCAUGACUUAGACCAUAUAUGUAUAUUUUGAUUGGUAAGCCAUCAUGAAUGG